AACGCACGAUGAUGACUGCAUAGUUCAGCGGAUAACCUGUGAUGACAAAUCUUUCGCUCCUAGCUGACGUGUGGA